UUCUCUUAAGGGUAAUUUAGGAAAUUGUUAUUAAUAAUUAAAUUAAUUGAUUAAUUAAUUUAAUAAAGUGGAAGAGGGGUAAAAGUGUAAUUUUACGAAUAAAUACCCUAGGUAUAAAUUAGAAAUUUUAUUCUUUCCCUUCUUUUCUGAAUAGAGUUCCUGUUCGCAGAAUUCCAGAGAACGUAAGGUUGGAGUCAGAUUUCAGGGUUGAAGAACAGAUCUCUAUAGGUGAAGAGUAGAUUUUAAGGAUUAUUUUUCUCCAAAGUUUUUGAGGACUUCUUUUGAGGUACUCUUAGUUCGGGUGAGGAGUGAUGGCUAGGCUGAGGAAUGGUCAUCAUUAGGAUUUGACUUAGGAUUUUAUGUUGGAUUUUGUUUAACUAUUAGUUAUGUUAAUUUGGAUCAUUUGAUAUUUGGAAGUUAUUUGGAAAUUGAAUUUUGAGGAUUUUAAA